UUCCAGGCCCCCUUACUUUCCUCCAAUCUUCCUUCAACCUGUUACCGUCCAUCUCACGCCUGCGUCGACCCGAUCUCCCUCUUGGCCUUGGCCACUUGUAUCUUGGUUCACGCCUUCCGUACAAUCACGCGUCUCGCGCAGCUCUUUGGAUGGCUGAUGCCUUAUCCCGUCGCUGGAUUCGGUGACGGAACAUUCGCGGACUCCUUUUAUUUCUCGUGCCAAUAAGAAUAUCCCAACUUAUUCCCUUGACCGUCCCAUUCGAUUCACUCAUUGAAUUGAACCCCACCUUCGGAACCAUCGAGCUCCGUUGUCUGCCGGACCCGCCAAAUACUCCCUCCGCGUCGGUCGUCAUACGCAAGCCUUGGCCUUAUCAGCCCACCUCGCUCACCUCCCGUUAAUUUGGCUCGCCCUAGCUGUCGUGUCUGACGACCACGACGCGCUGUCAGUUGGCUCUCAAGCCAAUGGGAAGCAUCAUGGAACACUCUGAUUCCACUGUCUCGACCACACCCUCCGACACCAUCGAGCCCGUUCUCCACAUCCCGUACCUACGCGUCCACCUCUACCGAGUCGUAAAAGCAGCGGCCCCCUUGCUGUUCACAGAGACAGCUCAGCUGUCGGUCCCAUCGAUGCCCAGUUUGGGCCUGACGACGCGAGGGCGAUGAGCCCCCGGCGUACAAGCGAAGACAUUGAUAAGAUGGGCAAAGAAGCCAGAGCAGAACUUCACAGACAUGCUCAGGCACUUCAAGAGUCCCUAUAAACAUAUUUAAUCGUAUUGAAGCCGUACGCGAAGAGCACGACAAGCUCGAUAAUAACAACAAGUUCCUACAAAAAUACAUUGGAGAUCUAAUGCACACCAGCAAAAUCACCGCGUCAGGCAGUCGAGGCCGUAAAUGAAAUCAUUGCAUGAAAAUUGAUGCCGGCUGUCCCAAUACCAAAUAGAACCAUGGCUGCAGACGAAAAAUAAAAAACGACAGUUUUACGCCCCCCGG
rnacentral:lncRNA from 1 species